rnacentral:misc_RNA from 1 species
AGCUUCCUUCAGACACACCGG